UCGAUUAUGCAAUUUAAGGAAUCAAUUAUUAAACAAAACUGCAUAAUGAACAUAAACCAUAAGCAAUCGAUUAGUGAUACUGCUAAUCGAUUUUCAGCACAGUAAAAUAAUCGAUUAUUUGCUUGGAGCAAUCGAUUGUUCUGUGCCAAAACUUUAUAAUUCCCCCUAUCUUUUAGGGCGAUACCUGCAAAAUAGAAUUAAUCGUCUCCGACGCUCAAGUCAGUAAUUUGUAAAGAAGUAAUAACUUAAACUAGUGUUGUCGAGUGAGAACGUGAGCUCUUAAGAGGUGUGUCCUA
rnacentral:lncRNA from 1 species